AAAGAGAGAGAGAGAGAGACGAGACGAGUGCUGAGUCAACUCAACCCUGGGAUGGCUUGCGAGCCUUUUGCUGAGUCGGCUGGAUGUUUGCAGAUCUGCUGUUUGACAUCCACAUCUGCCUCUCCCAGGUCCUUGGGGAGGACUCAAUGGAUGGAUAAAAAUGCCAAAUCCAGUCAAAACAUCUGGCUGACUAUGCAACCCACUAUAUUAAGCCAGGUAUAUAAAUCACAAUAUACAGCCCUGUUUUUACCGGGCCAUGAAAUCAGAGGCGAAGCAGGAUGCUAUAUUGAAGAUUUGAAAUGCAAAACAAAAGUUUAUUUAGGAAGGGUGUAGCACAACACUACCGAGGAAUUAAUUUUGAGGCAGAUAUUUAAAAAAAACAAACCAGAUGUUUGUGGUUACAGAGUAAGAGGCCUGUUGAUUUUCAUUUACAGGAAGAAGCAUGUUAUUCUUGAGAACAGAACAAUGUUGACGUUGGGGGGAGCAUCGAGCUGUUGUAGGGGAUCUAAAAGGACAUCUAUCCAACCCUCUAUCAGUUGGAACACCUUUUCUCCUUAUGGAAGGCUGAAGAACA